rnacentral:rRNA from 1 species
AUUGAACGCUGGCGGAAUGCUUAACACAUGCAAGUCGAGCGGGCUGUAGCAAUACAGCUAGCGGCGGACGGGUGAGAAAUACAUAGGAAUCUGCCUCAGAGUGGGGGAUAGCCCGGGGAAACCCGGAUUAAUACCGCAUGAUGUCGUAAGACCAAAGCAGGGGACCGUAAGGCCUUGCGCUUUGAGAUGAGCCUAUGUCGGAUUAGCUAGUUGGCGGGGUAAAAGCCCACCAAGGCGACGAUCCGUAGCUGGUCUGAGAGGACGAUCAGCCACACCGGAACUGAGACACGGUCCGGACUCCUACGGGAGGCAGCAGUGGGGAAUAUUGGACAAUGGGCGCAAGCCUGAUCCAGCAAUUCCGCGUGUGUGAAGAAGGCC